UUCGCAAUGCCCGAAAGGGUGACGAAGCGACGCCGCGUGUGGGGAGAAGGCCUUCGGGUUGUAAACCACUGUCGGGAGUUAAGAAGUGCAAUGGGGCGAAUAGCGCCAUUGCUUGACUAAGGCUCCAGAGGAAGCCACGGCUAACUCUGUGCCAGCAGCCGCGGUAAUACAGAGGCGGCAAGCGUUGUUCGGAAUUAUUGGGCGUAAAGAGCACGUAGGCGGCCGUGUAAGUCGGUUGUGAAAGCCUUCCGCUUAACGGAAGAACAGCAGCCGAUACUGCAUAGCUUGAGUGCGGAAGGGGAGAGUGGAACUUCUGGUGGAGCGGUGAAAUGCGUAGAUAUCAGAAGGAACGCCGGCGGCGAAAGCGGCUCUCUGGUCCGUAACUGACGCUGAGUGUGCGAAAGCUAGGGGAGCAAACGGGAUUAGAUACCCCGGUAGUCCUAGCCGUAAACGAUGGGCACUAAGUAGAGGGGUUUU
rnacentral:rRNA from 1 species